UUUAUUGAAGAAAUUUAACAAGUACAAAGCAUAAAAAAAUAAAAGAGCCCAGCUAUAAAACUUGACCCAAAAACAAAUAGUAACAUGAAAACAGAAACCAAUCCUAAGUGCAAAACCAAAAAAAGGCCCAAAAAUAAGAUUCUAACCUGUGAAAAAAUCAGAAAAAUAGAAAAACAAUUAGCCUUUUUCUUGCCCAAUCAGAAAUGAACGAUUGCCGUCUUUUUCCCUCAUCUGACAUUUCUUCCUCAAGACUCUUCCAUAUUCCCAAGAGGAGCGUUUGCCAUCAAAUCUAUGGGUAUCCCGCUUCAAAGCUCCCCUCUUUCACUUACUUCCUUCCAUUUUCAAUCUGGUUCUCUCGCCCUAUCCCUAUCCGCUUGCUUUUCUGCCAAAUUUGGAACGCUUCCUACAAGGUAAACUUCAGUCUUAUUCUUCAGCGUUUCAUUUGCUAAAGAAUACGCUAAACUGUUUGCUAAUCGUGGGAUGUAUUCAAACCUACACUCCUUAAACUUUAACAAAAGCUGACAAAUAUCAUGAAUAUAAGCACCUACCAAGGACUUAUCUGGUCUUUUCUCUCUGCACUUUUUUAUUAUUGACAAGGAAUCUCCCUCGAUAAUGAUUUUUUCCCAUUGCAUGUCAAUACCUAUCUGGGUCGCUACCCGGUACGCAAGUGCCUCAGCAGCGAAGGCAGAAGCAACCCGUUGCUGGAUCACCGAACAUGAUAAGAAAACAUCUCCUUCGCUAUUUCUUGCCACAACUCCUGCUGCUGAUUGACAAGUUCUUGCUUUAUAUGCUGCAUCAAAAUUAAUCUUCACAACCUUUUCAGGUGGCCACCUUCAUUUACAAGUAUCAAAAGAGUUUUUUGGGUUUCUUUUAUCAUUCUCGUCUAUUUCUGCUAUAUUACUGUUAACAAAACUUACUAUUUCUUUUCCAGAUUUGCUAGCCUUCUUAUGCACUCUAGUGUUCCCGUCUCCCUAAAUGGGCCAUAAUACACGGCAAAAAAGUCUAUAAUAAGAUAGCGAACUUUGCGAAAAGACCCAAGUUAGCCACUGUAUAAACCCCAAAUGGGUAUCUUGUAUAUAAAACUGGCCUGAUAGCUCUCUCCAAACUGAAAUUGAAAUAGGGCAAGCACGAAAAAGAUGGUCCAUAUUCUCUGAUCCACUUCCACACCGAGGGCAUAUAGAUGUGUUUGUUAACUUUCUCUGUAACAUGUUAACUCGUGUAGGUAGAUAGUUCCACGAUAUUUUCCAGACUGUAAUUUUUACUUUAGAAGGUAGAUUGAAUAUCCAUAGUUUUUUUUUUUAUAGAAUUCCUUAUAGUCGGCUUGUAAAGCGUGAGCUGUAAGAUCUCCUUCGAUGCUUUGUAAUAGUUUAUAGGUGCUGCUUACUAUGUAUUCGCCCGACGCCUCACCACUCUAAACCCGAAAAUCAUCGUGGGGAUCCUCUGCCAAUGGGAUACGGAGAAUCUUCUCGGCUACUUCCUCAGGAAAGGUAGACUCUAUCAGCUCUUUCUUCCAUAUUCUGCUACUUGGUUCAAUUAACUCAACAACUUUAAAAUCGUUCAAAUUAUUAAUUAAAGACGACAAUCUGGUAUUUUUUUUUUCCACCUGGAAUCCAAAAAUCAUUAAGAGCGGAAAUGUCCGUACCCCUACCCACCUUACAGCAUAAUCCUUCUUCUAAAAUGCCUCUUGUAGCCCAAAUACUCUUCCAUGUAUACGAAC
rnacentral:lncRNA from 1 species